GACGAACGCUGGCGGCGUGCCUAACACAUGCAAGUCGAACGGAGAUACGAUUUCGGUUGUAUCUUAGUGGCGAACGGGUGAGUAACGCGUGAGCAACAUGACUCUUAGAGGGGGAUAACACUGGGAAACGAGUGCUAAUACCGCAUAAGACCACGACAUGGCAUCAUGACGAGGUCAAAGGAGCAAUCCGCUGAGAGAGGGGCUCGCGUCCCAUUGGGUAGAUGGCGGGGUAACGGCCCACCAUGUCAACGAUGGGUAGCCGAGCUGAGAGGCUGAUCGGCCACACUGGAACUGAGACACGGUCCAGACUCCUACGGGAGGCAGCAGUGGGGAAUAUUGGGCAAUGGGCGCAAGCCUGACCCAGCAACGCCGCGUGAGGGAAGAAGGCUUUCGGGUUGUAAACCUCUGUCCUUGGUGACGAAAAAAAUGACGGUAGCCAAGGGGGAAGCCCCGGCUAACUACGUGCCAGCAGCCGCCGUAAGAC
rnacentral:rRNA from 1 species